rnacentral:rRNA from 2 species
GAGCGGAGAUUUGAAAAGCUUGCUUUUCAAAUCUUAGCGGCGGACGGGUGAGUAACACGUGGGCAACCUGCCCUUGAGACGGGGAUAACUCCGGGAAACCGGAGCUAAUACCGGAUAACACAUAUCUUCGCAUGAUGAUAUGUUAGAAGGUGGCUUUUAGCUACCACUCAAGGAUGGGCCCGCGGCGCAUUAGCUAGUUGGUGAGGUAACGGCUCACCAAGGCGACGAUGCGUAGCCGACCUGAGAGGGUGAUCGGCCACACUGGGACUGAGACACGGCCCAGACUCCUACGGGAGGCAGCAGUAGGGAAUCUUCCGCAAUGGACGAAAGUCUGACGGAGCAACGCCGCGUGAGUGAUGAAGGUUUUCGGAUCGUAAAGCUCUGUUGUUAGGGAAGAACAAGUAUCUGUUGAAUAAGCAGGUACCUUGACGGUACCUAACCAGAAAGCCACGGCUAACUACGUGCCAGCAGCCGCGGUAAUACGUAGGUGGCAAGCGUUGUCCGGAAUUAUUGGGCGUAAAGCGCGCGCAGGCGGUUCCUUAAGUCUGAUGUGAAAGCCCACGGCUCAACCGUGGAGGGUCAUUGGAAACUGGGGAACUUGAGUGCAGAAGAGGAGAGCGGAAUUCCACGUGUAGCGGUGAAAUGCGUAGAGAUGUGGAGGAACACCAGUGGCGAAGGCGGCUCUCUGGUCUGUAACUGACGCUGA